GAUGAAGAACGUAGCGAAAUGCGAUAAGUAAUGUGAAUUGCAGAAUUCAGUGAAUCAUCGAAUCUUUGAACGCACAUUGCGCCCGCUAGUAUUCUGGCGGGCAUGCCUGUCCGAGCGUCAUUUCAACCCUCAAGCCCCCGGGCUUGGUGUUGGGGAUCGGCAAGCCUCCGCGCCCGCCGUCCCCUAAAUCUAGUGGCGGUCUCGCUGUAGCUUCCUCUGCGUAGUAGCACACCUCGCACUGGGAAACAGCGCGGCCACGCCGUUAAACCCCCAACUUCUGAACGUUUGACCUCGGAUCAGGUAGGAAUACCCGCUGAACUUAAGCAUAUCAAUAAGCGGAGGA
rnacentral:misc_RNA from 1 species